UACAGAGAGUGCGAACGUUGUUCGGAAUUACUGGGCUUAAAGGGUUUGUAGGCGGCCUUGUAAGUCAGGUGUGAAAUCCCUCGGCUCAACCGAGGAAUAGCGCUUGAUACUGCAAGGCUUGAGGGAGACAGGGGUAAGCGGAACUGAUGGUGGAGCGGUGAAAUGCGUUGAUAUCAUCAGGAACACCGGUGGCGAAAGCGGCUUACUGGGUCUCUUCUGACGCUGAGGAACGAAAGCUAGGGGAGCGAACGGG
rnacentral:rRNA from 1 species